UUCUUUGGUUAUCUAGCUGUAUGAGUGUUAGAAGACGUCAUAAAGCUAGGUUACCAAAGUU
rfam:Daphnia pulex DAPPTscaffold_2_Cont111, whole genome shotgun sequence.